CUUUUGUUAAUAAUAUAAGGUUUAGCCUGCCCAAUGAAAAUUUAAAUGGCCGCAGUAUUUUGACUGUGCAAAGGUAGCAUAAUCAUUUGUUUUUUAAUUGAAAGCUGGAAUGAAAGGUUGAAUGAGAAAAUAACUGUCUCUAUUUAAAUUAAUUAAAAUUUUAUUUUUAAGUUAAAAAGCUUAAAUAUUUUUUGAAGACGAGAAGACCCUAUAGAGUUUAAUAAUUUUAGUAUUUAAAUAAUUUAGGAUUAAUUUUUUUUAAAUAAUUAAAUUAUUUAAUUGGGGUGAUUAAAAAAUUAAAUAAACUUUUUUUUUAUUAAUACAUUAAUUUAUGAGUAUUUGAUCCUUUUUAAGAUUAAAAGAAUAAAUUACCUUAGGGAUAACAGCGUAAUUUUUUUUUAGAGUUCAAAUUAAAAAAAAAGAUUGCGACCUCGAUGUUGGAUUAAAAUUUAUAUUUGGUGUAGCAGCUAAA
rnacentral:rRNA from 1 species